AUGAAUCUUAAACCAAGGAGAAAAGACUUCAGAAGAAACAAUCAGAACAAUAGCAACUUUGCAUUCAUUGAAUCUGAUGCAACCGAAGAAAGGUAUGUGAUACAGCAUGGAGUUCCCAGGAAAUUGGAUCAACCUGUCUAGCCCACUGCUGAAUUCCCUUACUUGCCCACUUGUAGAGAAUUAAUUCUGUUAUCAGAGAAUGAUAUCAAAUAAUAUCUAAGGAUUCCUUGAUGGCAGAAGAAAGCAAUAUCUAAUGCUCUAAUGCUCUUUAAGACAGAGAACUUUCACCUGGGGGCCACAGGUUCUGUGGGAAUCACUGGGCCAUCCCAGAUAAAAUGUGUCUUCCCAAAAUCCAUUCAUGAUAUCAGUGGCUGAUUCAGCACUUCACCUUUGUUUCUCUGAUCCUGAGUUAGCUGGUUAAUACUGAUCAGCCUCUCCUGUUUAUAACUUGCUGCCUGCCCGCCAUUUCGACUACAGUCCCUUCACACCCCCCAUUAUCAAUGUUUAAUCCCCCAGUCCCAACUCGCAUCUGAUUUCAUAACUUAAAACCCUGAUAAUCUUGACAGACUCUAGUAUCUAGUAUCAAUGUCUCCAUCGUUUCUUAAUGCCAGUCCCUUCCCAUCUCUAGCAUCUCACUGGUUCCUACUAAGGCUUCAACUAAGUCCCUGUUUAUAAUACUAUGUAAGUGUAAAUAAAACCAG
rnacentral:lncRNA from 1 species